CGAUGUGGAGCGAAUCCAGAAAAUAUGUCCCAGUUCAGAUUGCAGGCUGCAACUCGCCUGCAUGAAGUCGGAAUUGCUAGUAAUCGCAGAUCAGCAUGCUGUGGUGAAUACGUUCCCGGGCCUUGUACACACCGCCCGUCACACCAUGGGAGUCGGUAACACCCGAAGCCGAUAGUCUAACGAAAGAGGACGUCGUCGAAGGUGGGAUUGAUGACUGGGGUGAAGUCGUAACAAGGUAUC
rnacentral:rRNA from 1 species